AGGGGUAUAGCUCAAGUGGUAGAGUGCAUCGUUAGCAUGCAUGAGGUCCUGGGUUCAAUACCCAGUACCUCCU
rnacentral:tRNA from 1 species